GGCCAGUUAGUUCAGUCAGAGCAUGGUGUUGAUAACACCAAGGUCGUGGGUUCGAUCCCCGUUCAGUCCC
rnacentral:tRNA from 1 species